rnacentral:sRNA from 1 species
GCCGGGCGUGGUGGCGGGCCCCUGUAGUCUCAGCUACUUGGGAGGCUGAGGCAGGAGAAUGGCGUGAACUUGGGAGGUGGAGCUUGCAGUGAGCCGAGAUCGUGCCACUGCACUCCAGCCUGGGUGACAGAGCAAGACUCCGUCUCAAAAAAAAAAAAAAAAAGGACAGGGUCUCAGUCUGUCGCCCAGGCUGGAGUACAGUGGCGUGAUCUCGGCUCAUUGCAGCUUCUGCCUCCCAGGCUCAAAUGACCUUCCCACCUCAG